UACGUAGGGUGCAAGCGUUAAUCGGAAUUACUGGGCGUAAAGCGUGCGCAGGCGGUUUUGUAAGUUUGUCGUGAAAUCCCCGGGCUCAACCUGGGAAUGGCGAUGAAGACUGCAAGGCUAGAAUCUGGCAGAGGGGGGUAGAAUUCCACGUGUAGCAGUGAAAUGCGUAGAGAUGUGGAGGAACACCGAUGGCGAAGGCAGCCCCCUGGGUCAAGAUUGACGCUCAUGCACGAAAGGCGU
rnacentral:rRNA from 1 species